UACAACACAAAUCUUAUAGAGAUGAAUUUCAAUAGUGAGUAUAUAUUUUAGAGACCAAUUUGCAUGUUGUGUCAAAUUUUUUGGGUAUCCUAAAAGCUGACGCUGAGAGCUGAUUCAAGAAGCAUCCCGCGAAUAUCGAACGGCAGAUAUAUAAGAUUGUCGGGCCGCCGCCAGAAUCAAAAAGUUCCCAUUUUCCUGUUCAAUCAAAUUCCUCUGUUGAGGAAGAGGAGGAGGAGGAGAAGCGAUGGACAAAGACAAGGCGGAGUUCUUGAAGGAGUUCAGCGACGGCUUCGGGGUAUCCCGAUGGUCCCAUAUCCGUUGAUGAAAUCCGGGCCACUGAGUUCACGCUAUUGGAGGGAGAGUCUGCUUCCUUUCUGUCACUCUCCAUCUCUCUUUCGCUGGCCACCUGAAUAAUUUGGUGGAAGCUUAUCUUUAAGGAGCUGACUACUACUUGUCUAUGGAAAUCCUCGUGUCCUGCUCUUCGCCAAACUUAUCUCUUUGGCCUUGUGAUUCAUUUUCUUUUGGUCCAAUUAGUUGCUCAAGAAAGAUUUGGUCUCUUCGGACUUUGGAUGGAUAAUCAUGAGACAACGGGACCCAUAACUUGCAUUUGUUUCCAAAGAUCCUACAAUUUUGCUUAUUUGAAGAUAUAAUUUCUCCAUUGCUGUGAGUUUCAAGUAUUCUCUUAAGUAUAGCUUUUCUCAGUUGUUUACAUCAACUUAUGUGCAAGCAUUGAAGGUCGAUGAAUUCUUUGACCUCGAGAAAGAGAGAGCCUGAGCGACACAAGCAUAGCGAUUUCUUUCUGACAUUGUGAGGGAAUCCCGGCAACAGGCAGGUACCAUAUUUUGGGCUUUUAGCUGUUUGAUUUGAUUCCUAAAAGAUAGUUGAUAGUGCACGACGUGGACUUGCUUGGGCAUAUUACUCUUCGGUAUGCUUGUCCAUAACAAAGAUGUGCAAAAAGCUGAUUUCGACCUCCAGGAAAAGACUUUCCAUUAUGCCUAAUGUGGUCUUUUAACUCAACUUUGCAAUCAUUACACCAAGUAACCCGAUUACAUUAGUUGACUCAAACAAAUCAGCACUCAAGGUGACAAUGGCAUUAGGUUAAUUUGGCGUCACAUCCUCAUCAGCUUUCUUAUUCUCGUGUACAAUGCAGGAGUUCAAAAUAUACUAAAAACAUCUCGUGCAUAGCACCAAAUGAAUAGAUUGGGGAUAUUGAUUAUUUCAUUAUCUAAAGGUAAGGGUAGUAUUGACUAAAGCAAUAUAGGAGAAAUGAAGUUUAGUACAACAAUGCCCUCUUUUGAUUCAGUAUAUAAUAGGUCUAAGAUUCAAUACUUAACAGUGAACUUUCGUACCCCUGUAUUUUUUCUUUUCCUAUAUCCAUGAGCAUCCAGUAUAAUCUAGAGAAAAAAACCUUGCGUGCUUAUUUUAUUUGUGUUAUAAUUAGUUAGAACUUAAAUUGAUAUGCGUUUUGUGCUAAAUUAAAUAGCUAUUAAUAUGUUUUUGUAAUUCUGUUAUGACACUGUUUCAAUUGGACAUAAUGCUAUCCUCUCUUGGUGCCAUUGCCAACAAGCACCGAGGUCGACUGAUUUGAGCACGUUGGGCAACAGUGGCAACCAUGACCCCUCAUAUGAGUUCCUUGGCGCUCUCUGACACCGCCACGACCUCAAACAGCGAAAAUGUGCUGGCUAGGCGAAUACCCUCAAUGUUUUUGUCACAUUUCCUCAUAAGUUAUGGAUCAUCUUUUAAGCAAGGAAGAUAAAGUUACUUGUCCUAUCAUAGCACCUUUUUUAAUAGCGUCCCUUAACUCCACCACUCAACGUUCUUUGAUUGUGAUUGGUAAUGGAGUGAAAUUGAACUCGUCUCCAUUCUAAAUAUAUAUAUAUGAGAUUAUAAUGUUCUUUGAUUAUAUGAGAUUAUAAUGAUCAUUAAAAAAUAAUAUGUGUACGAAUUUAUUAUUAAAUAGAAAAAAAAUAUCGAUUAUAUUAUUGAAUUUAUGAAAAAA